UACGGAGGGUGCAAGCGUUGUUCGGAAUUACUGGGCGUAAAGGGCGCGUAGGCGGUCUGCUCAGUCAGAUGUGAAAGUCCACGGCUCAACCGUGGAAGUGCAUUUGAUACUGGCAGACUUGAGUACUGGAGGGGAUGGUGGAAUUCCCGGUGUAGAGGUGAAAUUCGUAGAUAUCGGGAGGAAUACCGGUGGCGAAGGCGACCAUCUGGCCAGAUACUGACGCUGAGGCGCGAAAGCGUGGGGAGCAAACAGG
rnacentral:rRNA from 1 species